UACGUAGGGGGCAAGCGUUGUCCGGAUUUAUUGGGCGUAAAGAGCGUGUAGGCGGCCAGAUAGGUCAGCUGUGAAAACUCGAGGCUCAACCUCGAGACGUCGGUUGAAACCAUCUGGCUAGAGUCCGGAAGAGGAGAGUGGAAUUCCCGGUGUAGCGGUGAAAUGCGCAGAUAUCGGGAAGAACACCGGUGGCGAAGGCGGCUCUCUGGGACGGUACUGACGCUGAGACGCGAAAGCGUGGGGAGCGAACAGG
rnacentral:rRNA from 1 species